AUUAAACGCUGGCGGCAUGCCUUACACAUGCAAGUCGAACGGCAGCACGGGGGCAACCCUGGUGGCGAGUGGCGAACGGGUGAGUAAAGCAUCGGAACGUGCCCUGGAGUGGGGGAUAACGUAGCGAAAGUUACGCUAAUACCGCAUAUUCUGUGAGCAGGAAAGCAGGGGAUCGCAAGACCUUGCGCUUUGGGAGCGGCCGAUGUCGGAUUAGCUAGUUGGUGGGGUAAAGGCCUACCAAGGCGACGAUCCGUAGCGGGUCUGAGAGGAUGAUCCGCCACACUGGGACUGAGACACGGCCCAGACUCCUACGGGAGGCUG
rnacentral:rRNA from 1 species